AGACCCGAAACCCGGUGAUCUAGCCAUGGGCAGGUUGAAGGUUGGGUAACACUAACUGGAGGACCGAACCGACUAAUGUUGAAAAAUUAGCGGAUGACCUGUGGCUGGGGGUGAAAGGCCAAUCAAACCGGGAGAUAGCUGGUUCUCCCCGAAAGCUAUUUAGGUAGCGCCUCGUGAAUUCAUCUCCGGGGGUAGAGCACUGUUUCGGCUAGGGGGCCAUCCCGGCUUACCAACCCGAUGCAAACUGCGAAUACCGGAGAAUGUUAUCACGGGAGACACACGGCGGGUGCUAACGUCCGUCGUGAAGAGGGAAACAACCCAGACCGCCAGCUAAGGUCCCAAAGUCAUGGUUAAGUGGGAAACGAUGUGGGAAGGCCCAGACAGCCAGGAUGUUGGCUUAGAAGCAGCCAUCAUUUAAAGAAAGCGUAAUAGCUCACUGGUCGAGUCGGCCUGCGCGGAAGAUGUAACGGGGCUAAACCAUGCACCGAAGCUGCGGCAGCGACGCUUAUGCGUUGUUGGGUAGGGGAGCGUUCUGUAAGCCUGUGAAGGUGUGUCGUGAGGCAUGCUGGAGGUAUCAGAAGUGCGAAUGCUGACAUAAGUAACGAUAAAGCGGGUGAAAAGCCCGCUCGCCGGAAGACCAAGGGUUCCUGUCCAACGUUAAUCGGGGCAGGGUGAGUCGACCCCUAAGGCGAGGCCGAAAGGCGUAGUCGAUGGGAAACGGGUUAAUAUUCCCGUACUUGGUGUUACUGCGAAGGGGGGACGGAGAAGGCUAUGUUGGCCGGGCGACGGUUGUCCCGGUUUAAGCGUGUAGGUGUGUGUUCCAGGUAAAUCCGGUUCACUUUAACACUGAGGCGUGAUGACGAGGCACUACGGUGCUGAAGUAACAAAUGCCCUGCUUCCAGGAAAAGCCUCUAAGCAUCAGGUAACAUCAAAUCGUACCCCAAACCGACACAGGUGGUCAGGUAGAGAAUACCAAGGCGCUUGAGAGAACUCGGGUGAAGGAACUAGGCAAAAUGGUGCCGUAACUUCGGGAGAAGGCACGCUGACACGUAGGUGAAGUGAUUUACUCACGGAGCUGAAGUCAGUCGAAGAUACCAGCUGGCUGCAACUGUUUAUUAAAAACACAGCACUGUGCAAACACGAAAGUGGACGUAUACGGUGUGACGCCUGCCCGGUGCCGGAAGGUUAAUUGAUGGGGUCAGCGCAAGCGAAGCUCCUGAUCGAAGCCCCGGUAAACGGCGGCCGUAACUAUAACGGUCCUAAGGUAGCGAAAUUCCUUGUCGGGUAAGUUCCGACCUGCACGAAUGGCGUAAUGAUGGCCAGGCUGUCUCCACCCGAGACUCAGUGAAAUUGAACUCGCUGUGAAGAUGCAGUGUACCCGCGGCAAGACGGAAAGACCCCGUGAACCUUUACUAUAGCUUGACACUGAACAUUGAGCCUUGAUGUGUAGGAUAGGUGGGAGGCUUUGAAGUGUGGACGCCAGUCUGCAUGGAGCCGACCUUGAAAUACCACCCUUUAAUGUUUGAUGUUCUAACGUGGACCCGUUACCCGGGUUGCGGACAGUGUCUGGUGGGUAGUUUGACUGGGGCGGUCUCCUCCUAAAGAGUAACGGAGGAGCACGAAGGUUGGCUAAUCCUGGUCGGACAUCAGGAGGUUAGUGCAAUGGCAUAAGCCAGCUUGACUGCGAGCGUGACGGCGCGAGCAGGUGCGAAAGCAGGUCAUAGUGAUCCGGUGGUUCUGAAUGGAAGGGCCAUCGCUCAACGGAUAAAAGGUACUCCGGGGAUAACAGGCUGAUACCGCCCAAGAGUUCAUAUCGACGGCGGUGUUUGGCACCUCGAUGUCGGCUCAUCACAUCCUGGGGCUGAAGUAGGUCCCAAGGGUAUGGCUGUUCGCCAUUUAAAGUGGUACGCGAGCUGGGUUUAGAACGUCGUGAGACAGUUCGGUCCCUAUCUGCCGUGGGCGCUGGAGAACUGAGGGGGGCUGCUCCUAGUACGAGAGGACCGGAGUGGACGCAUCACUGGUGUUCGGGUUGUCAUGCCAAUGGCACUGCCCGGUAGCUAAAUGCGGAAGAGAUAAGUGCUGAAAGCAUCUAAGCACGAAACUUGCCCCGAGAUGAGUUCUCCCUGAGACUUUAGGUCUCCUGAAGGAACGUUGAAGACGACGACGUUGAUAGGCCGGGUGUGUAAGCGCAGCGAUGCGUUGAGCUAACCGGUACUAAUGAACCGUGAGGCUUAACCUUACAACGCCG
rnacentral:rRNA from 3 species